rnacentral:rRNA from 1 species
CCUACGGGCGGCAGCAGUGAGGAAUAUUGGUCAAUGGACGAGAGUCUGAACCAGCCAAGUAGCGUGAAGGAUGACUGCCCUAUGGGUUGUAAACUUCUUUUAUAUGGGAAUAAAACAGGGUAUGCAUACACUCUUGUAUGUACCAUAUGAAUAAGGAUCGGCAAACUCCGUGCCAGCAGCCGCGGUAAUAUGGAGGAGCCGAGCGUUAUCCGGAUUUAUUGGGUUUAAAGGGAGCGUAGGUGGAUUGUUAAGUUAGUGGUAAAAUUGAGGGGCUCAACCUCUUCCCGCCAUUGAAACUGGCGUUCUUGAGUGGAAGAGAAGUAUGCGGAAUGCGUGGUGUAGCGGUGAAAUGCAUAGAGAUCACGCAGAACCCCGAUUGCGAAGGCAGCAUGCCGGCUUCCGACUGACGCUGAAGCACGAAAGCGUGGGGAUCGAACAGGAUUAGAUACCCUUGUAGUC